GGGAAGCAAGAAACAUGGAUGAGGUUUUCUUUACAAGCCCCUUGGCCACUCGGCCCUUUCCUCCCACCCACCGGGACUCCUCGGUCAAAUGCUGUCUCCCUGGUUGUGGAGCAUUUGGCUGGGGACGUCGGACACUCUGCUUUCCUCUCCACGUCUUCCAGGAACCCCGGGGCAUUUUUUUUUUUUUUUAGUUUCUGGAACGUAGCACACUGGAACGAAGCUUUAACCUCUCCUGCCCCUCCAGCCGGGGACUGAAAAGAAGUAGGGGGAGCGGGAGCGAGCGGGUCGGAGCGACCAGCCGAGCCCUGCGACCGUGGGUGGAAGGGAGGCGACGCUUUCUGCGCCCGGCGCUUCACCGCCCUGCCCGGGCCCGGGGCCACCGCGCCGAGAGCGGCCGGGGUCAGGUAGGAGGCACGCGGCCCGCCGGGACCACCGCGCGUCCCCCGCCCGCCGCCGCCACGCCCAGCGGGAGGUGGCGUGCGGAGCGGGCGCGGGAGAGGGGGGCGGUCACGCGCGCCGCCCGAGGGCUGGGGCCACGCCCCGUCGCCCAGGCCACGCCCACCCCUUAGAGCGCCCGGGCUGCCUAGGUACCUCCCCCGUUGGCAGCGCGGAACGCCCAGACCUGAGCUCUCAGAAAGAACCCUGUCUCCUGUUACUCACCCCAGGGUGGCUGCCCAGGGAAAAGCAAGCAUAUCGCUCACUGGCCUGCUGGAAACCCUUUCAUCUCUGCUCCAUCCGCAGCAGCUCUUUGAUUAACUGCCACUGGAGCCUCCAACCAUGGCCACGCUGUAAAUCCCUGGGUGCCCGCCGGCUCAGAUCUGGGGCACGUGUACACCCAGGUGCACCCCCUUUCUUCAGCCUUCUUCCCCCUUCCUGCUGCCUCCCUAUCUCUGAAGCCUUGGGACUUGUGGUGGCAAUGAACCUUGGGUUUUUCCAGGAGUCUUGUUCCUUCCAGCCCCUCUGUGCACCCACCUACUCCAACACCUGACAUUUUCCUUCAGCUACACCGUUCCUCCCUUCAGUGUCCACGCCCGCGCCCGCGCAGGCCUCUUCUCUUCCCCUCCGUCAGGCCAGUGAGAAGUUAGCUCACCCAGUGGCGAGAGCACAGGCCGUGGACAGGUGCCCACGCAGCCGAAGAGCAGCAGGCCCAUGUGGAAACAGUGCUUUUGACAAGCCGAGGCAUCGUAUUUCAUGAGUGAGCCAAAUGUAGAAAGGAUUAGCUGUUUCACCCAAUAAGCCCACAUCUGUAGUUACAUUCUGAUGGGGAUAAAAUUACUCUGGUUAUUAAUCCUUCUGCUUUAGGGUAUAAGCUGAUCACCAGCUGGGCUCAGGGAAAAAAUUCUAUCCCGGCUCCUGCCAGGCUCCUCCCCAUCCUCACCUGCCCCGCCUUUGUGCUGCGUUGUUGCGCCUUUAGGUCUGUAGACCAAGUUGAAGGCCGCCAAUGGAGGCGCCUCUGGGACAGAACAGCUCCAGUCUGUUCUGCAGAGGACGUCCAUCCAAUCACAAGCUGUACCAGAAUCUAAAUAUACAAAGGAUCUACGGCUCUAGGCUUUUCCAAACUUCUUCGCACCUCAUAGAAAUGCAACUGGCCUGUGCCGGCUCUCCUGGGGACCCCACGAAGUGAGGACUAACUUAUCUAAUGAAGUCAUAGAAGCUAAGGUGUUAACGGGUUACCGGGACACCACGUUGUUGUUGUCACCUUCACCCACGUGGUGCUUGGGACAGUGAAGACAUGGCAUCGUAAUGCCUUGAGUCACAGGCAUCUGUGAAAUGAGUGAAUGAGUGAAAAAUUAAAGAGGACCCGUGCUAAGAAGAGGCAUCCCAACAUUGGCAUUGGGAAGGCAGCUGGAGCAGACAAUGGCGAAGGCCUCCUCCGAGCCUCGGAGCUCUCCUUCCCCGGCACAGGUCAGCGGGGAUAUUCAGUCCUCCACUUGUCUCUCAGGAGAGAGCCUCUUUCUGUCUUUUCCCUCGAGCUCUCUGAGAAACAUCGCACCACCUCUGCAGCAGGGGAUCUCUGCCUCUCCAAGCUUCAGCACCAUUCUUCCCAAUGGCCAACGCAGCUCCCUCAAACUGCGGUCUUAGUGCAUCCCUCUGCCCGCUCCUUUGAAGCCAACAGCUCCUGUCAGGGCCAGGGUAGGACUGUGGUGAGAGCCAGCCCAGGGGGAGAGCCCACAGAAGGCCCUGGGGGGGAGGGGGGGAGGCGUGUGCAGAAACACCGCUCAAGGUGAUGGGGAUCUGCAGGAGUCGGAGAGGGGCCCCAGGGAUUCACUCAGCAAGAGUAAUUAACAUUGAACACAACAGAUCUCGGGGCCAGCAUCACUGCCCAGAGCAUGGCCCCGAAUGAAGGUGGAUAGCUUCAAUUAUCUGGGCAUCUUGAUGAAUGGGCAUGGCACACGCUCUGGGGAAGAUGGGAGGAAACGAGCCACAGAUUAAUCACUCGUGGCAUCACUGAACAGAGGGUGUUUAGAGCCUGCAAGAGCCCUGGGGACAACAGGUUCACAAAAGCAGAGAGGGAAAAGGAAAGCAAUCAGGGCACAAUUACAAAAAAAAGGGGGAGGAAGCAAAUCUAACACCGAGGCUCAUCUUUUUUAGACAAAUUUGCAUAGAGGUAGUGACAAUGGAAGUAGCCCUGGUAGGGACUAGGGAUGGAUAGUGGGGUUCUGUUAUAGUAACUGCCUGCCUCCAGUGGGGCCAAGGGCUGGACCCCAAAGGUAACCCCAAACCAGAGAAGGAGGGUCUCAGAAACAAAGGUGGGGGGGGGGAGGAGCAAGACAAGGAGACAAGAACUAAUGAGAGCAACACCAUGGAGGCUUCCAGAGGAAGAUGAGGUAACGUGCCAUUCUAGCCUUUCCUAGGACUCCAACAGAGUGCCCCAUUAGUGGCGUCUCAGGACAUCUCUGCCCCCAAAGUACUAUGGGGUAGGUGAGUCAAAAUAACGAGAAUUAUUUUUCCUGGAGAAGUGUUUGGUUGUGUAGGUCCAGCAUGUGACAUACGUGUAUAUCAUAAAUGUUUCUUGAACGAAUGAACACAAAUAGCUAGCAUUAGUUACACUUUUCCUGUGUCAGGCAAUAUGCUAAGUGCUUUACACAAAUAAAUUUAAUGUAAUU